AGGUGGAGUGACAAUAUGCGCAGUUGCACUUAACCGUGCCUCGCGUGCCUUCCUGGUUGGUGUCGGGGGCAGGGACGUGGUGACUGGUGGCAUUAUCGCUGGUUAUCUCCACCAUCCGUCGCCUUACACUGCCCAGGCUACUAAACAGGGGAGAUAAAGAUCGAGAGGCUAUUUUCUGCCAUCAUCGCAACACCGCAAGCAACACCUACUGAACAAUGUUUACAAUGAGGAGUCGAAACAGGUAGUUCCAGAGAGCCGGGAGGGACAGAAUAGGAGGAGGCGAGGGAAAGUGGGAAGGGACACGAGAAAUAGUUUAUUUCUCUGCAGGACCGUGUACAGAUGUCAACGUCGCAUCCCCACUGUAUUGAGCAGUAUACCACUUGCUUGACCUGGUUUUGGUUUGCUGCUGCUGCGGUCGCCGCCGUCGGCAAAGAUGGUGUGGUAUUUCCAUUGAUUCCAUUGGAAGUGCCUUCCCUGGUAUACUACCACCUUGGAAGGAGGGAGAAAAUCAUCAUUGACUACAAAGAGUGAAGAAAGAAUGCAGCCUCUUUAUUCUUGCAUAUUGUCCUCCUUACCUUGUGUGUUAGACUCAAUGUUGGCUGGCUGUGGUGCUGGUACAUGAGCUGCUGUGGUGUUAAGUCAUGAGACUCUUUAACUUUUAUGAAUUUGUAUUUUUCUUUUUUUUUUAAUGCAGUUACUGAAGCUGUGCUGUGUUUCUCCGGAGAGUCUUUUUAGUAUCUUAAACAAUCCAAUUGCUUAAGUUAAAAUUAAUUCAAAGUUGAGCAGGAUUUUGAUUUCAAAUAGUGAAGAGCAACUUUUUUUUGAGCAGACUGUCUAGACAAUGUAAAUGGUAAUCAAUGUAAAUGGUAAUAAACAGUAAAGCAA